UAUCAACUGCCCUAGCAGACUUGCCAAGAUGAUAGAUACUUUCUUUUAGGAGAAUAAAAUG
rnacentral:ncRNA from 1 species